UGACGGAUCUCCUACACAUGGUGCCUGGACCGUGGUGGUGUGGUUUUCUCUCUGGACAGUGGGUGUGGCCAUGUCAGUGAUGGAGCAUUUAGCACGCUGGUCCGAUGUCACCCGCCUGCAACUGAGAGCAACCGAACGCAGAGGAAUGAGGGAACUACGGGUCUACCUUCCUGGCUGCCAGCAGACUGAGGCCUCACUACCUCUGCAUCAGAGUCCAACGCCUGUUGGAAGCUGUCUGGAAUUUUGACUGCAAAGCUACUGACGCAGCAAUUUCUUCCAGAGGAGGUAAAAAAAAGUGAAAAAUAUCUUUAAUUAUGUAAAGAGUCUUUCAGU